GACUAGCUAUAUCCCGAGUUGAGCAGUAAAAGCAAUGUUCAUUAGUAGUUGAAAGAAAAUCUAAACGUCUAACAAUGGGGAACCCUUCGUACUACCACGAGAUAAAAUGUCGAAUCGCUCUGUAUAUUUGGUUGUGCACUCUUAGUAUAACACAUAUAUAUGGAGGUGUUGUAUAAAAUUCAUUCAAUGCUGCACAAUAAAUGAGAUUAUAGUUAAUAUAAUGCUAUGGAGCAUGCGUAACCAGGUAGCGGGCAAGAAACCUAUUCGUGCAAAUAGGAACAAUUUGACUGCGCAAGAAUGUAUGACAGUUGCUCUGUAUCGAAUAUAAGUAAAAUUAAAAAAUGUGGCAAAAAUCUCUUUGAUUUAUAACAAAACCUUGAAAGUCAUUUUUAAGAAUAUUAUUCUAUAACUGUGUCAUGGUUACCUUUUGAACAUCCGCAUCUUAAUGACUAACUACUCUAAUCACCAUUGGUAAGACGUUGGAUACAAUAAAUUAAUGUGAAAAAGUAAA